ACGGCUCAGUAACACGUAGCUAACCUGCCCUUAAGUCUGGGAUAACCUCGGGAAACUGAGGCUAAGCCCGGAUAGGCGAUGAUUGCUGGAAUGCGUUUUCGCCCAAAGGCAACGCUUAAGGAUGGGGCUGCGGCUGAUUAGAUAGUUGGCGGGGUAACUGCCCACCAAGCCUAUGAUCAGUAAGGGCCUUUAGCGAGGAAGCCCUGAGAGGGAGUCUGAGACACUACUCCCAGCCCUACGGGGUGCAGCAGUUAGGUAACUUUUGCAAUGCGCGCAAGCGUGACAAAGCAAGCCAGAGUGCUUUUCCGUAUUGGAAAAGCUUUUGCGGGAUGCAAAAAGUCCCGCGAAUAAGGACCGGGCAAGACUGGUGCCAGCCGCCGCGGUAAUCCCAGCGGUCCAAGUCGCAGCCACAUUUGUUGGGUCUAAAACAUCCGUAGCUUGCCCUUCAAGU
rnacentral:rRNA from 1 species